AGGGACUGACUCUGUCCUGGGUGAG
rnacentral:piRNA from 1 species